rnacentral:rRNA from 1 species
UACGUAGGGUGCAAGCGUUAAUCGGAAUUACUGGGCGUAAAGCGUGCGCAGGCGGUUAUGCAAGACAGAGGUGAAAUCCCCGGGCUCAACCUGGGAACUGCCUUUGUGACUGCAUAGCUAGAGUACGGUAGAGGGGGGAUGGAAUUCCGCGUGUAGCAGUGAAAUGCGUAGAUAUGCGGAGGAACACCGAUGGCGAAGGCAAUCCCCUGGACCUGUACUGACGCUCAUGCACGAAAGCGUGGGGAGCAAACAGG